AUGUGGAUUGUCUGUCUACCCCCAGGAAUGUCCAUCACCGAGGAAGACGCUGUCCAGUCAACAAGUUGACGUCAGCUAAAAGCGAAGAGAAAAAGGAGGAGUCUGUCCUCUUGUUUUGGUUUCUGAUCGUAUAGAGCUCAGUCAGACUCAGGUGCAAGUUGCAUGCGUAUAAACAUACUAGAAUUUCGGGGGUUAAGUGAUUACAAGACAAACACACGCAGAAGCGCGUGCACGUAGGAGCUCGUUCUUUAGGGAAAAAGAUGAUGUAAAGCCUAAAGAUCAGCACGUGACAUCUGAAUAAAUAAUAGAACUGUUAAGGACAACAACUCAAUACUCGCACGCAUCUCCUUGCAUCGCAGCAUCAGCACCAGCAUCCCGCAGUAUCACAGUUACCCCACUAGCUGACUCCCGCUACAGCUGCACUGCCUUUUACAACAAUUCUGCAACUCUUACACCUUUACCCUGCCAGCUAUGUGCACCUGCCCCAUGAAGACAAGUAGAAGCACCUCAGGCCCAGGCUGCUCCUGCAGCAGCAGUUCUGUAUCUCUGGGAAGUGAACCUGCCCCUUGUAGCUCUGGGGCUCAGCUCACUGCUGCCCGUCUCCGCAGCAUCGGUGAUGAACUGCAGCAAUUCCAGGCCCGAAGGCGACGGGCAGAAACGGCGAAGUGGAGAUUCAUGAUGUGGGGACCCGGGCACCACCAUCUCGGGCUGCAGGGCGUCCUGGCCAGCGGUUCUCUGGGCUCACUGUGCGUGGCACUGCUGCAGAUUACUACACAACUAGUGCUGUUUAUCGGCCGAAGGAGACAGCUGUAAAUAACCUGGCACAAUCACUUGGAGAGAGACGGCAACAGAUAAAUGCUAGUCCUUGGAGACAGUGAAGUAAGUUCCUCUACAGUAAAGGGCUGCAAAAGAAACUGAGGGAGCCUCAACACUUUCAAAGAAUGCAAGAACCAGAACUGCAAAUAGUGAUUGAGGAAGGCACACAGGACUAUGAAAGAAAGGCAGAGAUGCAACAUGAUAAAUGGGAGAACAUACUUUAAAUGCAUGCUUUGUGGAAAUGUAGUUAUUUGUUUUUUACCAUCACUGAUAUUUAAACAUACAUCUUCAAAAGUUUUGCUGCAAACAUGCUUUGGAAACCAUUGUUUUAAUUUCAUCUUGCAAAACUGGUGCUUUAUGACACACUGUACAAACUCAUUCCAUCAGACAGAAAUUACAUGCAACCAGCCACGAUUACAAAAAAUGUGCACUGAGGCCAUUGCAGUAAAUGCAUAGGCUAUUUGUAUAUAUCUAUUUACUAUAUUUAUAUGUAGAAACAUUACUUGAUUAAAGGUUGCUAAUCCAGAUAUUUGUGUCUUAUGCUUUCUGCAUUCUGCGUGGAUUAGCAGCUGGGGUACUGGAACAGGUAUCUUCAAUAUUUUAGACUGUUAAAUGGAUUAUAUUGCUAAUCCAGGUGUACUUUCUGUAUCCCAGAGUGCCUUUGAUGCACAGUGCUUUGAUAAUCUUUCUGCAAAGAACAUUAAAUGAUAAAAAUCGUGUUACUCUUUAUUCUUACUUGAUAUUACUGUAGUUGAAAUUGUGGUCAUACAGAUACUGAAAAUAAUGCAGGCAUUUACUAAUGAGAGUGGGAAAAUGGCAAUAGUUUCAAAUUCUGUUUUUGACUUUUUGGCAGUGACAUUGUGUUAUCACACCUUACUUUAAUAUAUAGGUAAGAAAUACAGGUCUGCAUGGAUUUUACAACAGUAUCAUAUGCAGGUAGUCAUUAUUUAACAAAGCAGUUUAUUUAAGAAUAAAUAAUCUGCAUUCUGGUGCUAACCAUGAAAAAUAGGAGAUAUAGUAUAGAAACAUGAGUAGACACUCUAGUGUUUUGUCGAUCAAACAUUAUUGGAAGCUAUCGCUUCUGCAAACACUGAUUGCAAAUAUUUUGCUGCCACUGCAUCUGUUUCUACAGUGUACUUAUGUUUGGCUGCAUGGUCAUUAAAACACAGUCCACUGAUGGCAGUCAUUGAUACAGUCAUGCCACUGUGAUAUCACUGCAGUACUAGGUGCUAUUUAAGGGACAGUGUCAGUUCUUCCUCACAUGAACACUACUGUUAAAUAAGAAACAGGGCUUAACUAACAUUAAGAAAAAAUAUUCAGACUAUUUUCUAGAAACAAUACUGAAAAAGAUCAGCAUACUUUACAACUGUGUAAGCUACUUUACAUGCUUUUAUAAAAUAUAAGCAUAUUGAUUUUCUACUGGAUGCAGUACAAUCAUUUUUGAUUGCUGUUGACUUUCUGAAUGUACACGUAGUAAAUAUACGCUAACAUUGUGUUUUCUAGUUUCUCUGAAAAUAACUGGAAGCAACUUAUCUUAAAAAGAUAUGCAUGCAGACUUAUUUUCAGUGAAGAAAUAGUUUUUCCACAUUUUAUGUAUCAAAUGAUAAAACCAAUGUAUUUGUUUUAAAUAAUGAAGCUAUACAACUUCUGCUGGAGAAUAAAUAAAUUUCCUUGGCUGAAACAUAGUAAGUUUGCUUAAUUUAAAAUGUGCUGUUUCAAUAACUAAAAGUACAUUUUUGCAGGGGGUGAAAUUUCUAUAUUAUAUGGUCUGUGUACCUCCAGUUUUCCUUACAAUUUGUUGCAGUAAUUAUUUUGUGGUAACCAAUUUACAGAAAUUUGUUAAUGUCAUAUUUGCUGAGCUGGUAUUGUAAACUGAAAAAUGUGCGCUGAUUUUAACUGUAUAUUACUUAAAUGUACCAUUUUUUAAACAAGCUGUGGGAUUUCUAAGUGUGUGGAGUUUUUUUUUCUGUAUUAUUAAAAUUUUUUCUAUUUCAAAUGUGAUCUGGAUAUACAAUAUAGUACUGUUAUAAAACUGAGGAAACAUUUUAGUGAUCUAUACUUAAAAUAAACUUUUUAAGGAAUU